UAUUGUGUCAUUGGCUUGUUUAUUAUUUACUCCAUGUGUAACUCUGUGUCGUUGUCUGUGUCACACUGCUUUGCUUUAUCUUGGUCAGGUUGCAGUUCUAAGUGAGAACUUGUUCUCAACUAGCUCACCUGGUGAUUCUCACCUGGUUGGCAUGGCAACACGACAAGGUAUGCAACAUUAAACCCAAUCAAAUAUCCAAUGUUACUAAAACAAUUAUCCCGGUUUACAGUCAAGCAAUUACCUGGCAGUUGUGUUAAUGUUAUGAACUACAAACGAUCUAUGGUUCUUGGAGUCAAUGAAUCAAUUGAAAGUGACUACAAUUAGAAAUGUUUCAACUGUGUAAAGAUGCUCUGUUUACAUUUGUUCCAGACACUUCAAUCUGACACUAUUGUUAAUGUUUGACAAAACGUCUUCAGCGUAGGACAGAGAGCCGCUGGCUGGCAUUUGACUGCAGUGUCUGUAGGUGUACCAGGAAAGGACAUUAGACGUUAGGUCCCCAUGAUAUCGAAGCUUCUUACCGUCUCCACUGCAGCCCAGUCGAUAUCGAUUUAAAACAACUGGAAGAAUAGAUUGUGCUACACGUUGUACAACUCCAGGUUUCCUAUUGUCCCAAUAAAUGGCAAUUCUACAUUUC